CUACGUGCCAGCAGCCGCGGUAAUACGUAGGUGGCAAGCGUUGUCCGGAAUUAUUGGGCGUAAAGCGCGCGCGGGCGGAUCAGUCAGUCUGUCUUAAAAGUUCGGGGCUUAACCCCGUGAUGGGAUGGAAACUGCUGAUCUAGAGUAUCGGAGAGGAAAGUGGAAUUCCUAGUGUAGCGGUGAAAUGCGUAGAUAUUAGGAAGAACACCAGUGGCGAAGGCGACUUUCUGGACGAAAACUGACGCUGAGGCGCGAAAGCCAGGGGAGCGAACGGGAUUAGAUACCCCGGUAGUCCUGGCCGUAAACGAUGGGUACUAGGUGUAGGAGGUAUCGACCCCUUCUGUGCCGGAGUUAACGCAAUAAGUACCCCGCCUGGGGAGUACGACCGCAAGGUUGAAACUCAAAGGAAUUGACGGGGGCCCGCACAAGCGGUGGAGUAUGUGGUUUAAUUCGACGCAACGCGAAGAACCUUACCAGGUCUUGACAU
rnacentral:rRNA from 1 species